UGAAGGCCUUCGGGUCGUAAACCUCUUUCGAUCGGGAAAAUGGUCUCGAGAAGAUCGGGAUCUGAUGGUACCGGAAGAAGAAGCCCCGGCCAACUACGUGC
rnacentral:rRNA from 1 species